CCUACGGGGGGCUGCAGUGGGGAAUCUUGCGCAAUGGACGAAAGUCUGACGCAGCGACGCCGCGUGGGUGAUGAAGGCCUUCGGGUUGUAAAGCCCUGUGGGGAGAGACGAAUAAGCCGUGGCUAACAUCCACGGUGAUGACGGUAUCUCCUUAGCAAGCACCGGCUAACUCUGUGCCAGCAGCCGCGGUAAGACAGAGGGUGCAAACGUUGGUCGGAAUUGCUGGGCGUAAGGCACAUAUAGGGGGCCAGAAAUCCCUCGGCUCAACCAAGGAAGUGCAUUCGAAACCGCAUGGCUGGAGUCCCGGAGAGGAAGGUGGAAUUCUCGGUGUAGAGGUGAAAUUCGUAGAUAUCGAGAGGAACAUCGGCGGCGAAAGCGGCCUUCUGGACGAGGACUGACGCUGAGAUGCGAAAGCGUGGGGAGCAAACAGGAUUAGAUACCCUGGUAGUC
rnacentral:rRNA from 1 species